ACUGACAACUUCUGGCGAGAGCUGAGAACAGAGGUUUUUGCUAGGGUUUUUGGCUCUACGUUGAAAUACAGAACAGAGAAAGGAAAUGUCGUCUCUCAUGGCGAUUCGGGGAUCGCCGAGGUUCAAACUGACUCCUUCUUUAUCUUCUUCGCUCUUCAAGGUACGUUCUCUUCUAAACCCUCAGUUCGCUUUCAAUAGCAGCAUCAAUAGGACCUUAAUCCUCUCCAAAACCCUAAGCACCUCUUAUGCUGUUCCUGAUGACUAUCAAAGACCUCCACCCUCUAGUAAUCAGGACGAGAGAAGCCCUAAUGCCCACUGGAACGGGGGGAAUUCUAAUCAGUGGGGCUCGCCACAGGGCCAUAGUAACCCUAAUCAGUGGCCCUCUCAAGGCGAAAGGAGCCAUAAUCAAUGGAAUGCACGGACCCAGACCCAUCAACAACCUCCUCAACAUAUAAACCCUGGUAACAAUCAGUUCUAUUUCCAAAAUUUGAACCAGAGUAACGCGAAUGGGGGAUACCCUGCUUCAUUUCCUCAACAACCACGACAAAACCAAAAUCAAUGGAGUCCUCAAGGUCAAAACUAUCCCCAGUUCCGAAAUCCUAGUCAGGUGAAUCCUAAUCAGUUGAAUUCCCCGGCUCACGGCUUUUCUCAUCAUCAGCAGCAACCACAACAAAAUCCUAAUCAGUGGAAUUCCCGGACUCAAAACUAUCCCCAAUACCAAAAUCCUGGUCAGGUGCGCCCUAGUGUUCAGGAUUAUCGGCAACCUAGAAGCCCAAAUCAGUGGAACAAUCAAAGUCAGACAUACCCACAAGCUAGAAAUCCUGUUCAGUGGGCUCCUCAGCAAAACCCAAAUCAAGAACGUGGGGCCUUGGAGACUCGAGCACCUAAUUUGAAUGCUAACGUCAAUGUUCCUGCCCCGGCUCCUGCUCCUGCUGCUGCUCCGGCUCCUUCAAUAGUGGAUUUAAUGCAUUUGUGUCAGGGGGGGAAGGUUAAAGAAGCCAUUGAGUUGAUGGAUGAAGGUGUUAAAGCUGAUGCUGAUUGCUUUUAUGCUUUGUUUGAGUUGUGUGGGAAACUUGAGGAUGCCAAAAAGGUACAUGAUUACUUUUUGCAAUCAACAUAUAGAGGUGAUCUCAAGUUUAACAAUAAGGUGAUUGAAAUGUAUGGGAAAUGUGCAAGUAUGACUGAUGCUAGGAGAGUUUUUGAUCAUAUGCCAGAUAGGAAUAUGGAGACAUGGCAUCUGAUGAUAAAUGGGUAUGCAAAUAAUAACUUGGGAGAUGAAGGGUUGCAAUUAUUUGAGCAGAUGAGGAAACUGGGGUUGAAACCAACUGAGGAAACGUUCCUUGCAGUUUUGUCUGCUUGUGCCAGUGCAGAUGCGGUGGAGGAAGGAUUUUUACAUCUUGAGUCUAUGAAGAAUGAGUAUGGAAUUAAUCCAAGGAUGGAACAUUAUUUGGGGGUUAUUGAUGUACUUGGGAAGUCUGGGUUUGUUAAUGAAAUUGAAGAGUACAUUGAGAAACUGCCUUUUGAGUCGACAGUGGAAAUUUGGGGUGCAUUGAGGAAUUAUGCUCGAAUUCAUGGAGAUGUUGAUCUUGAAGACCUUGCUGAGGAGUUGAUGGUUGCUCUUGACUCAUCAAAGGCUGUUGCUAACAAGAUACCUACUCCGCUGCCAAAGAAAUAUAGUGCAAUCAGCAUGCUUGAAGGAAAGAAUAGAAUAGCCGAGUUUCGGAACCCUACCCUUUACAAAGAUGAUGAGAAAUUGAAGGCAAUGAGUAAGGCGGUGAGUUAUGUGCCAGAUACCAGAUAUGUUCUUCAUGACAUUGAUCAAGAAGCCAAGGAGCAAGCCUUAUUAUAUCACAGUGAGCGUUUGGCAAUUGCAUAUGGUCUCAUCAGUACUCCUGCAAGAACACCUUUGAGGAUAAUUAAAAACCUCCGUGUGUGUGGUGAUUGUCAUAAUGCUAUCAAGAUAAUGUCCAAGAUUGUUGGGAGGGAAUUGAUUGUCAGGGAUAACAAAAGAUUUCAUCAUUUCAGGGAUGGCAGUUGCUCUUGUGGAGAUUACUGGUAAAGUUAUCAGCACAACACUCUCCAUAUGUAUUGAGCGAGAUUAUCUCUUUAAGGAAUUUUGAUAUGUAAAUUGCCAAAUCUUCUGAACCAUAUCUGCUACUGUGGACAGUGAAAGCAGCACAUCUAGUGAUAGAAAAUAAACUUUUUACUGCUUCACAUGUGUGGUUUAGUUGUUUUAAUGAUCGAUCAAUUAUUUGUUAUGAGAUUUCCCUAUGUUAACAACUGUUUCCCCUUCUCUCUCU
rnacentral:misc_RNA from 1 species